CCCGGCUAGCCCGUCCCCCGAAGGUGGGCCCUCCCGGCGAUCUGGAGAGCAGCCCGGGACACGUCAGUCUUACCACUUCCGCCUCACCCGCGGGGACCUCAGUCGGGCGGAAAGCUCCUUUUCUGGAGCCUAGUGGGGACCACGCCCCCGAUGCUGCGGCCGGUGCGCUGUUCCGCCGACGGUCUUUCGGGCAGGGACUGAGGCUGAGGCCUGGCUGCGGGGACGCGGACGCCACUUUGGGUGCUACUGUGUGAAGGAACUCUGGCUAGUCUGCUGGAUAGUGAGACCAUAUGCAGCAGAAACAAACGAUCCCAGCAAAGAUGAGACCACUUGGAAGAACCACCCAACUGAGCCCAGCUCAACUUGCAAAAAAAAAAAAAAAAAAAAGGUGGUUGUUUUAAGCCAGAAAAACAUUUUAAGGUUAAGAUUCCUUAGAAUAUGUUUCUACAACACCUUAUAAUGCUCUGUAAUAUUCUCACACGUGUGUUUCUCAUGCUGGAUAAUAAAACUCUAGGAGCAUA